rnacentral:rRNA from 1 species
GUCGUACAAGGUUUCCGUAGGUGAACCUGCGGAAGGAUCAUUACCGAUUUUUAGCGUGCCUGGUCAUUGACCAUGGUCUCGCGAAAUUUUGUAUUURAAACCCACACUUUAAUAAUUUAAAUCAUAYAUUAUGAUAAAAAUAAAGAUCACUUUCAACAACGGAUCUCUUGGCUCUCGCAUCGAUGAAGAACGUAGCGAAGUGCGRUAAGUARUGUGAAUUGCAGAAUUCCGUGAGUCAUCGAAUCUUUGAACGCAAAUUGCACUCUCUGGUAUUCCGGGGAGUAUGCCUGUUUGAGGGUCAGUUAAMAUAAAAAUCGWUGUGUCGCUUUUGUGRCGCUUCGGAAUUGGGUCACCUUGAUCAGAGGUCAAGAGGCCUAAAAUUGAUACCUUUCCGAGCAUCUUGGACGUAGGUARCCACCWUUCAAGUGCCGGAUCUUUUACUAGGUAUGACCAUGCUGUGCUGGACUCGUACCCAUAACGUGUAUUCAUAUUUUGACCUCAAAUCAGGUAGGACACCCGCUGAACUUAAGCAUAUC